CGGACGGGUGAGUAAUGUCUGGGAAACUGCCCGAUGGAGGGGGAUAACUACUGAAACGGUAGCUAAUACCGCAUAACGUCGCAAGACCAAAGAGGGGGACCUUCGGGCCUCUUGCCAUCGGAUGUGCCCAGAUGGGAUUAGCUAGUAGGUGGGGUAACGGCUCACCUAGGCGACGAUCCCUAGCUGGUCUGAGAGGAUGAUCAGCCACACUGGGACUGAGACACGGCCCAG
rnacentral:rRNA from 1 species